GGAGCAGGUCUGAUUGCAAAACAACGUGAAAGGUUGCCUAGAAAUCUCAGAUAAUCCAUUCGAUGUUCAGAAAUGGGAUAGGGAAGCCAGCAAACUCUGGGUGAGUUUGUCUUGCUGGAGCUGAGGAUAUUCACAUUGAGACAAAGAAAGGAGUGUUCUUUGGAAGCCUCAUGAAUGUUCACUCAAAGGCACACUGCUGCGCAGCUAUUUUGUAAAUGCAGAUAAAUGGGCACCGAUUAUGUUCCAGGGUAACUGGAGGCUGCCUGGACUCCUGACCAGCCUGCUCCAACCUGGGGAGAGUGAUUAACCUGCCAUAUGCCACAGCCUGGAAAAAAAUGGCAGAGGAUUUGGCAGUGGACCAAGUCAUAAGAAGGUGUUUCGAUCUGGAGAACUACAUCAUGACUACAUUCUAGAAAGCUGCAAUACUCUACAGGAAGACAAUGGUUG